rnacentral:rRNA from 1 species
UAACCUGCCCAAGAGAUCGGGAUAACACCUGGAAACAGAUGCUAAUACCGGAUAACAACAGAUGAUGCCUUCAACUGUUUAAAAGAUGGUUCUGCUAUCACUCUUGGAUGGACCUGCGGUGCAUUAGCUAGUUGGUAGGGUAACGGCCUACCAAGGCGAUGAUGCAUAGCCGAGUUGAGAUACUGAUCGGCCACAUUGGGACUGAGACACGGCCCAAACUCCUACGGGAGGCAGCAGUA